rnacentral:rRNA from 1 species
GAUGAACGCUAGCGAUAGGCUUAACACAUGCAAGUCGAGGGGCAGCACAAGGUAGCUUGCUAUCUGGGUGGCGACCGGCGCACGGGUGCGUAACGCGCAUGCAACUUGCCCUAUACAGGAGGAUAACCCGUCGAAAGACGGACUAAUACUGCGUAUGCUCACAACUUGGCAUCAAGUGGUGAGGAAAGAAAUUCGGUAUAGGAUAGGCAUGCGUCCCAUUAGCUUGUUGGUGAGGUAACGGCUCACCAAGGCAACGAUGGGUAGGGGAACUGAGAGGUUUAUCCCCCACACUGGUACUGAGACACGGACCAGACUCCUACGGGAGGCAGCAGUGAGGAAUAUUGGUCAAUGGGCGCGAGCCUGAACCAGCCAAGUCGCGUGAAGGAUGACUGUCUUUUGGAUUGUAAACUUCUUUUAUACGGGAAUAACAAGAGUCACGUGUGACUCCCUGCAUGUACCGUAUGAAUAAGCAUCGGCUAACUCCGUG